rnacentral:tRNA from 1 species
AAGGCUUUAAGUUAAUUAAACUAUUAUCCUUCAAAGUUAAAAAUAUAACUUUGUUAUAAGUCUUA